AGGAAUAUUGGUCAAUGGGCGUAAGCCUGAACCAGCCAAGUAGCGUGAGGGAAGACUGCCCUAUGGGUUGUAAACCUCUUUUGUGCGGGGAUAAAGUGUGGGACGUGUCCCAUAUUGCAGGUACCGCACGAAUAAGGACCGGCUAAUUCCGUGCCAGCAGCCGCGGUAAUACGGAAGGUCCGGGCGUUAUCCGGAUUUAUUGGGUUUAAAGGGAGCGCAGGCCGUCCUUUAAGCGUGCUGUGAAAUGCCGCGGCUCAACCGUGGCACUGCAGCGCGAACUGGAGGACUUGAGUACGCACGAGGUAGGCGGAAUUCGUGGUGUAGCGGUGAAAUGCUUAGAUAUCACGAAGAACUCCGAUUGCGAAGGCAGCUUACCGGAGCGCAACUGACGCUGAGGCUCGAAAGCGCGGGUAUCGAACAGGAUUAGAUACCCUGGUAGUCCGCGCGGUAAACGAUGGAUGCCCGCCGUUGGGAUUUUGAUUUCAGCGGCCAAGCGAAAGCGUUAAGCAUCCCACCUGGGGAGUACGCCGGCAACGGUGAAACUCAAAGGAAUUGACGGGGGCCUGCACAAGCGGAGGAACAUGUGGUUUAAUUCGAUGAUACGCGAGGAACCUUACCCGGGCUUGAAUUGCAGGAGAACGAUCCAGAGAUGGUGAGGCCCUUCGGGGCUCCUGUGAAGGUGCUGCAUGGUUGUCGUCAGCUCGUGCCGUGAGGUGUCGGCUCAAGUGCCAUAACGAGCGCAACCCCUGUCCAUAGUUGCCAUCAGGUCGUGCUGGGCACUCUGUGGAGACUGCCGCCGUAAGGUGUGAGGAAGGUGGGGAUGACGUCAAAUCAGCACGGCCCUUACGUCCGGGGCUACACACGUGUUACAAUGGGGCAUACAGCGAGUUGGAUGUGCGCAAGUACGUCCGGAUCAAUAAAGUGCCUCUCAGUUCGGACUGGGGUCUGCAACCCGACCCCACGAAGCUGGAUUCGCUAGUAAUCGCGCAUCAGCCAUGGCGCGGUGAAUACGUUCCCG
rnacentral:rRNA from 1 species